GGCAUGCACUGCAUCGAGGCAAUCGAAGAUUGGUCUGUGUAGUAGAUAAAUAGGCCCUGAUGUCUUCCUGUAUAAGUUUGGCUUUGGUACUUGGGUGGUUUACGCCAGUCUAUGCGUCUCGAAUUAUUUUAUUUUAUUUUUUUUAUUUAAAAUUUUUUUUUCUGGUUUCAUGACAUGUCAUUAUCAUGCACGGCCCUGUAAUGACGUGGAGCAGGAGUUUUAAGCUAAUGAUAGCGUUACUGAUAAAUUGGGAAUUUGUAAUAUUGACAUUAGCCCAUCUUAACAAAGACGAUGCAGAAGUCGUUACAAACGGAUCAAAUGAGUCGCUCGAAGCACAGCAGUCUUCCGCGGACGCUCACGAAGAUGACUGUGAACGAUAUCUCAACACUUCAGCGUUUUCAAGUGAUCCAGCGGACGACUCGACGAUCCAGUCCACUUUCAGAUGCCAUGCAUGUGAGGACCACAGUCUGGUCACCGGAGCGAGUACCUCGCGAAAGGACGAGUUUGAGGAGGUUCUCCGAGGACCAACUUGGCGAUUCUUGAGUAAGUUAAGCUGCUUUUAAGAUUAUUGGUGUUUUAAAAUGACUUAUGAAAUCCGCUUAUUCGUUCAUCAAGGUGAUCAACAGAAUCUGAAUGGAGUCGUGGUGUCUGAUGACUCUCAGCCGGUGUUUACAUGUGGCAAGGAACGCCUUUGGAUCAAGUUUUCCAUGACGCUGCACUCGAACCCGCGCUUGAUUAUCAAGACUGAAUGGGCAGAUUCACAUACACAAAAGCAGUGCCGAUGCAUCAGAAGGAAUCAUGGGCCAUCAAUGCUGCUGAGUAUCUACUUCAAAGAGUGCUAUGCUUCAAAUUGGACUCGAGACAGAAGGAUGUACUACUCUGUAGGAGUACUUUACUUUGAUCACCUUCUAAUGAAGAGAUUCUCCGGCACUGCCACCUGUCAUGCUGCCAUCCUGCCACAUAAUGCACUUUCUACAGAAGUAUCACCUGAAGUUAUCUGUGGAAAGCCAUUUGUGAUUGUAAAAUUACCAGCCAAGAGGAUUAAAAGUGUUAAAGUUUUGGGUAUGUCCAGGCAAUUGCCUCGUGCAGUUCUUUGGAAUAGUCACCAUACUGUGUUUGUCAAAUUGAAACGCUCCACAGUCAAGGAUGGUAUUUUCCGGCUGGAUUAUCUUGAUGUGGCUGGAAAAUUGCAGACAGUCAUGUUGUCCUGUGUUCAACAGACGUUUAAAAAGGACAUCAGAAAACGAAGACAAAACCCUUUUGAUUUUAUUCGGGAAUAUGAUUCAGUACCUACUGUUGGGGCAAAUUUAGGUCUUUUGGACUUUGAAGUAAAACCCACUGUUCCUUGUGGGGAAUUUGAAAAAACACCUAAAACGACCCAAAUGAUGCUUGCAUCCAGCACAACAACAUUUUCAGACCCCAGUACAUGGACAAACACAAAUCCCUUUAGGUCACCUGAGAUAACUAUUGGAACAACCCAGAAAGCAGAAACCUCAAGUGCUGCUACACAGUCAAGUGGAAUGACCAAAACUGUAACUUCUGUUGUUGAUGCUAAUGCAGAAUUUGGGACCGAUUUUUAUUUCAAACCCACUGUUCCAUGCGGGGAAUUUGAAGAAACUCCUAAAACUACCCAAAGGAUACUUCCAUCCAGCACACCUAUACAUCCUGAUCCCACUUCAUGGACAAACGCAGAACCCUUCAGGCCACCAGAUAUUACUCUUGGUACAACCAAAGAAGGGGAAUCCUCAAGUGCAGCUACACAACCAGACAGGAUCACCAAAACUGCAACUCCUGUUGUUGAUGCCGAUGUAGAGUUUGGGACAGAUUUUGACCUUUCCACACCCACUGUUCCCUGUGGGGAACUUGAAAAAAACCUUAAAACUACCCAAAGAACACUUUCAUCAAGUAUUCCCACUCAAACAGGCCAGUCUACAUUGAAAAGCACAAGACAUGACUCUGAAUGGGGUUUCUCAAAUAUCCCAUUGACUUCUUUGAGUUCUGCAGAAACAACUCACUCAGUUAGCUCAACAGAAAUUGUAUUGAAAACAUUCACACCUGUUAUGACAACUGCUGGAGCAACAACCUUACCUGAAACCAUGCCUUAUUUAACAUCUGUUGCUGGAACCACAAUAGCUCUGAUAACUACUUCUGCUGAAACUACUUUUCCAGACACCACUUCCAUAGAAACUACUUCUCAGAGAACUAAUACUGCUGAAAUAAUGCCCUCCAAUAGUUCAACAAUAAAUACUUUAGGAGCAUCCACAAAUGUAAUGACAACUGUUGGAGCACCAAUCUCACCUGACCCAACACCUGCCGCAACGUUUGCUGUUGAAACCACAAUGGCUAAAACUACCACAGAGACUGCAACCCUUGCCACCACUGCUGAAGAAACUACUAACUUUGUCACCUCUUCUGCUGAAAAUACAUCCUUAGUUAGUUCAACAGGAAUAGUAUUGGAAACGUUGACACCAGUAAUGACCACUGCUGGAAAAACAACUGCAGCUUUAACCAACCCUGGCUUAACAUCUGCUAUUGAAUCAACAAUGAAUCAAACUAGCGCUCCUUCAGAAACUACUACCCUUGGCAUCACUUCUGUUGAAAGCACAACCCAGAGAACCACUUCUGCAGGACCUUCUACCCUUGGAGCCACUUCUGUGGAAAGCACAACCCUGGGCACAACGUCUGCAGAAACAACAUCCUCUAUAAGUUCAACAAGAAUCUUGGAAACAUCCAUGCUUGUAAUGACAACUGCUCAGCCAAUGGCAUCCAGCUUAAAUACCCCUGCCUUAACAUCUGCUGUUGAAACCACAUUGGCUCAAACUACACAUUUUACAGAAAUUAGUACGCUUGAGGGCAUUUCUGCAGCAAGUACUUCACUUGACACCCCUUUUGAAGGAAGUACAACCUUGGGCACAACCUCUGCUGAAUCUACUACCCUUGGCAUCACUUAUGCAGAAACCACUUCUACUUCUGUAGAAAGCACAACCCUGGGCACGACUUCUGCAGAAACUACUACCACUUCUUUAGAAAGCACAACCCUGGGCACAACCUCUGCUGAAUCUACUACCCUUGGCAUCACUUCUGCAGAAACCACUUCUACUUCUGUAGAAAGCACAACCCUGGGUAUGACUUCUGCAGAAACUACUACCCUUGGCAUCACUUCCACAGAAAUUCCUACCACUUCUGAAGAAAGAACAACCCUGGAAACUAUUACCUUUGACACCACCUCUGUAGAAAGCACAACCCUGGGCACAACUUCUGCAGAAACGACUACCCUUGGCAUCACUUCUGCAGAAACUACUACCACUUCUGUAGAAAGAACAACCAUGGGAACCACUGCUGCAGAAACUGCUACCCUUGGCUCUACUUCUGCAGCAAGUACCUCACUUGUCACACCUAUUGUAGAAAGCACAACCCUUGGUGCCACUACUGCAGAAAAAACAUCCUCUGCAAGUUCAAAAGGAAUCUUGGAAACAUCCAUGCUUGUAACAACAAAUGCUGGAACAACAGCAACUACUCCUGCUUCAAUAUCUGCAGUUGAAACCACAAUAGCUCAAACUACCACUCCUGCAGAAACUAUGACCCUUGACACCACUUCUGCGGCAAGUACCUUACUUGGCAUAACUUCUGCAACCAGUAUCUCACUUGGCACCACUUCUGUAGAAAGUACAACCGUGAGCACAACCUCUGCAAAAACUACUACCCUUGUCACCCCUUUUGUAGAAAGCACAACCCUUGGCACCACUUCUGCAGAAAAAACAUCCUCUGCAAGUUCAACAGGAAUCUUGGGAACAUCCACGCUUGUAACAACUGCUGGAACAACAACGCCUGGCUCAACAUCUGCAGUCGAAACCACAAUGGCUCAAACUACAUAUUUUUCAGAAAUUAUUGCACUUGGCUCUUCUUCUGUUGAAAGUACUACUACUUCUGUAGAAGGUACAACUCUGGGCACCAUUUCUGCAGAAACUACUACCCUUGGCACCACUUCUGUAGGAAGCAUUACCCUUGGCACCACUUCUGCAGAAAAAACAUCUUCUGCAAGUUCAACAGGAAUCUUGGAAACAUCCAUGCUUGUAACAACUGCUGGAACAACAGCAGGUAUGCCUUACUCCACAUCUGCAGUUGAAGUGCUUGAUGGCACUUUUGCUGAAACACCCUCAGUUAGUUCAGCAGGAACUACAGCUAUAGGCACACCUGUCUUAACGCCUGCUGUUGAAACCACAAUGGCUCAAACUACCAUUAGGCACCACUACUGUAGAAACAACUACCUUUUGCAUAACUUCUGUAAAAAACACAGUUGGUCCCUCUUUUGUAAAGGGUACCAGUUGUGCGUAAACUAG
ensembl:lncRNA